ensembl:lncRNA
AACAAAUAAAACACACACACAUACAUCCAUCUAUACACACAUAUAUUUUGCACUACAGAUGGACUUUCCAACAAAAUUUGGCCACUAAUGAGGUUCUCACCAUGAACACCCAGACCACACAGUUCGUUCCCAGCCCCCACAUCAGAUCUAUCAUCUCACCCCCUCCCAUUCGAGAACAUGUGUUAAGCCCAUGUAUGGGAAUGUAAGGUGGGCUGUGGAGAAACUCUCCUGGGGUUUGUGGUGCGAUAGCACCUGUAAACUUCCAGUACUGUGUGGGUGUCAUAGCCAUCAGUCAGAUAUAGGAGCUGCACUUGCAUGCCUGAGAGGCGUUUCGAAGAUAGCCGCCAAGUGACAUGACAAGGACUUUGAUACAGUUGAAACCUGUUAAUUUUAAUGAAGAUCCACCAAAAUGCCUGAAGUCAGAGGUAACUAAGCAUGAGCCCAAGAGCUACAGCACUGAGGAACAGCAAGAACCGGCAAUCAGCAACUACAGACAAUUCUGUACAUCUGUACUUUACAUCCAACAGGUCUCAAAACAACAUCUCAAAACUAAACACACCAAAACACCAUCAACCACUGCAGGAUAUCUCAAAUAGGCCUACACACUGCCAGUCUAUAUAUAAUAUGGUGCUGAAUGAUUAUUAAAUAAACGUUAGGAAAUUUAUAUGGCGCUUAAAUGUUUUUCAAAUGAUAACAUGUUAUACAAUAAAUAAAUAUAUAAAACACACCCUUCAAUAUAUCAAUAAUCAAAAUAACAUCCUUGAAAAAAAGGUAGUGUUACAGUACCGUGGUACAGUGAUGCUCUCAGGUGGUCAUAUAAAGCAUAGUUCAGAGCAUCCCAUGGUGAAUGUCCAUAAAAUUGGUAAAAGCAUGAUUUCCCAAAGCAGGGUUUGUUUUGUUCUAAAUGUGUGUUCAAAAUAAAAUAACUGCAC